rnacentral:rRNA from 1 species
UGGGGGAUAUUGCACAAUGGGCGAAAGCCUGAUGCAGCGACGCCGCGUGGGGGAUGAAGGCCUUCGGGUUGUAAACUUCUUUUGCUCUGAACAAGGCGCACCAUGGGGUGUGUUGAGUGUAGGGGUUGAUUAGCGCCGGCUAACUACGUGCCAGCAGCCGCGGUAAUACGUAGGGCGCGAGCGUUGUCCGGAAUUAUUGGGCGUAAAGGGCUUGUAGGCGGCUGGUUGCGUCUGUCGUGAAAGCUCAUGGCUUAACUGUGGGUUUGCGGUGGGUACGGGCUGGCUUGAGUGCAGUAGGGGAGGCUGGAAUUCCUGGUGUAGCGGUGGAAUGCGCAGAUAUCAGGAGGAAUACCGGUGGCGAAGGCGGGUCUCUGGGCUGUUACUGACACUGAGGAGCGAAAGCAUGGGGAGCGAACAGG